AGAAUAACAAGAGUGAUCUUAUUUACUCACCAAGGAAAUACCCACAGAGUAUGCAGCUAUCAAGAGCUGGAGACACACUUAAGCAAGUUGGACCAGCUUGAGUUACCAGGGUCAUUUGGAUAGGACUGUUCCACUUGGAUCCUACUAAAAUACUAGAGUUCACACCCUUUAUCCCAGAUCUCCUCAUCCACCGAAGCAGUGACUUGACUGGCCUAUUAUUAUCACUCAUAAAGACUGCAGCCUGGAUCGACAAAUCCAAUGAACUCCCAUGGAUCCACCAAAUAUUACCACAAAU